ACACGCGGCUCGGAGACAGCUCUAGGCCAGACCAACCGAGAAGAGCGUGCGACAGACCAUUGGGGGAGAGUGCCCCGCUUGGAAGAGCCCACUGGGUUUGGGCGGGAGAGCUGUUUGGGCGAGCCCACUAGGAUUGGAACCUGAUCCAUGGCCCAGUGAAGCUAAAGGUCAUUACAUUGACUUCAGUGGAUUUUGGAUGAGACCGAUGAGACCUAUGAUUCCUAAGUUUUAAAGGCCAUUUUAAUAGCACCUGGACUGUCAAAAUAAACUGUACAGUUGAAAGGAAAGUGUUGGUCAGAAAUAUUCCACAAGAUGGCAGCCUUACCUAUGUAAAAGACACCAUUUAAAUUAAAUCAGCGUUGCUGUGGGAACCAGAGGAUGAAAUAAUUAAAGACAAUAAAUCCUUCCCCAAGGAGAUAAUCAGUUUCAAAAGGACCUUGAUAUAUCUGCUUCCCUAGAAAGCUGCUUCUGAGCAAAUCAACUUCAGCAACAGAUAGCAAAAGCGACAACUUUCAUUUUGCAACGUGCAUGAUCUUUGGGCAAUCACUUCAACUCAUUGUGCCAGCUUCCUUAUAAUAGAGUAAGGCUGACUGUACUACAUGCCAAAGGCUGCAACACAUGUACUAUACCUGCUCGUAAUGGCCGAGGAACACCUCCAACAAAAAUAGUUUUUCGUGGAUCAAGAGGCUGCGAACCAUCCAUCACGAAGUCACUAUCACUGAGAUUCCAAGGUCUGAUCUGAACCUAUGGCCAGAAAAAAAUUUUUUACUGUUCUUAAUUCAGAUUAAGAGCUGAGGAGGAAAAUAGGAUUUGCUUUCCGCCUUGUGCGGCCAAUCCACAAUCAAAGGACCAAAGCGACGAAAGCUAGCCGUGAUCUCAUCUGAGGGAUGAGGAACAGAGAGAUAAAAAGGAGCAUAAAUAGAAGUUAAAACCUACUGAACAUAAAACCCUGGAGAAUCUGGAUUUCAGACAUCAUGAGAGACACGAUUCCUUUGUCAGAAGUGGCUCUGCAACACUAAGGGUACAUCUAUACUACCCGCCGGAUUGGCAGGUAGUAAUCGAUCGGCGAAUCGACACCUGUACUCCACCUCAGCAGGAGGAGUAAGCAGCAUCGACAGGGGAGCCGCGGCAGUCAACUCGC